rfam:Ipomoea nil DNA, scaffold: scaffold1617, cultivar: Tokyo-kokei standard.
ACGAUGGUUUUUUUAAAAACCACCGUAUAUACCUUAAUUAUUUUUUU